CCUACGGGCGGCAGCAGUGGGGAAUAUUGCACAAUGGGCGCAAGCCUGAUGCAGCCAUGCCGCGUGUGUGAAGAAGGCCUUCGGGUUGUAAAGCACUUUCAGCGGGGAGGAAGGCGUUAAGGUUAAUAACCUUGGCGAUUGACGUUACCCGCAGAAGAAGCACCGGCUAACUCCGUGCCAGCAGCCGCGGUAAUACGGAGGGUGCAAGCGUUAAUCGGAAUUACUGGGCGUAAAGCGCACGCAGGCGGUCUGUCAAGUCGGAUGUGAAAUCCCCGGGCUCAACCUGGGAACUGCAUUCGAAACUGGCAGGCUAGAGUCUUGUAGAGGGGGGUAGAAUUCCAGGUGUAGCGGUGAAAUGCGUAGAGAUCUGGAGGAAUACCGGUGGCGAAGGCGGCCCCCUGGACAAAGACUGACGCUCAGGUGCGAAAGCGUGGGGAGCAAACGGGAUUAGAUACGCUAGUAGUC
rnacentral:rRNA from 1 species